UACGAGGGGGGCGAGCGUUGUUCGGAAUUAUUGGGCGUAAAGGGUGCGUAGGCGGUUUGGUAAGUCUUGUGUGAAAUCUUCGGGCUCAACUCGAAGUCUGCAUGAGAAACUGCCGGGCUUGAGUGUGGGAGAGGUGAGUGGAAUUCCCGGUGUAGCGGUGAAAUGCGUAGAUAUCAGGAGGAACACCGGUGGCGAAGGCGGUUCUCUGGGCCUGUACUGACGCUGAGGAACGAAAGCGUGGGGAGCGAACAGG
rnacentral:rRNA from 1 species